rnacentral:rRNA from 1 species
UACGUAGGGGGCAAGCGUUGUCCGGAUUCACUGGGCGUAAAGCGCGUGUAGGCGGCGCGUCAAGUCGGGUGUGAAAGCCCGGGGCUCAACCCCGGGAUGCCGCUCGAAACUGGCGCGCUUGAGGACGGAAGAGGGGAGUGGAACUCCGAGUGUAGAGGUGAAAUUCGUAGAUAUUCGGAAGAACACCAGUGGCGAAGGCGGCUCACUGGCCCGGUACUGACGCUGAGAUGCGAAAGCGUGGGGAGCAAACAGG